rnacentral:rRNA from 1 species
GACGAACGCUGGCGGCGUGCCUAAUACAUGCAAGUCGAGCGAAGUUUUUCUGGUGCUUGCACUAGAAAAACUUAGCGGCGAACGGGUGAGUAACACGUAAAGAACCUGCCUCAUAGACUGGGACAACUAUUGGAAACGAUAGCUAAUACCGGAUAACAGUAUUUCUCGCAUGAGAGAUAUUUAAAAGUUGGUUAUGCUAACACUAUGAGAUGGCUUUGCGGUGCAUUAGCUAGUUGGUGGGGUAAAGGCCCACCAAGGCGACGAUGCAUAGCCGACCUGAGGGGGUGAUCGGCCACACUGGGACUGAGACACGGCCCAGACUCCUACGGGAGGCAGCAGUAGGGAAUCUUCCGCAAUGGGCGAAAGCCUGACGGAGCAACGCCGCGUGAGUGAAGAAGGAUUUCGGUUCGUAAAGCUCUGUUGUUAGGGAAGAAUGGAUAUGUAGUAACUAUACAUGUAAGAGACGGUACCUAACCAGAAAGCCACGGCUAACUACGUG